GGCUGCAGAGGAGGCGGCCGAGAACGUCCCGCGCCCGAAGCGAAGCGCUCCAGAAGGGCGCGCCUUUGCCGGCUGCUGGGUUUCCUGCAGUCAUCCCCUGAAGCUGGAGCUCAUCCAUUCGUCUAGGCUGGCUAGACAGAGAACUUCAGGAAUCACCUGUGCCUGCUUCUCCAGUGCUGGGAUUUAUAAGCGUGUGCUGCAGCUCUUCCUCACCUGUCAGAUGGGGAAGAAGAUCGGCUUAAAGCCUGUCUGUGUGACAGACAUAGUCAAAACCAUCUAAUACUGGUCUUCACACGAAACAACAGGGUGUCUCCCAAUCUUGUGUGAGGAGGAAGAAUACAGGGAGUAUGCUUGUCCAUUCUUCUUCCUUAGGCUGCCGAGAUGAUCCAUGAUACCUGCCAAGUUGCUUUUCCUUUCUCUUCCUCCAAAUUGCCAGCCAGAAUCUAUCCUAGGACCUGAGAGACCUGGCCUGAAAAGAUGAGCUGACCUGCAUUGGUCAGGAUCGUGCAGGUUUCAGGUAACAAGACAUCUGAGUCAAGGCAGCUGAGGCUAUAAGGACACCUGAUGUAACAAGACGUCCAAAGGUGCAGUACGGCCAGCUUCAAUUCCUGCUGCCUUUCCGGCCCUGAUGAACUAGAGGUGUGAUUCCAUCUUUCUGGGAGUUGAGACAGGA
rnacentral:lncRNA from 1 species